rnacentral:rRNA from 1 species
UACGAAGGGUGCAAGCGUUAAUCGGAAUUACUGGGCGUAAAGCGUGCGUAGAUGGUUCAUUAAGUCGGAUGUGAAAGCCCCGGGCUCAACCUGGGAAUGGCAUCCGAUACUGGUGGACUAGAGUGCGGUAGAGGAGAGCGGAAUUCCCGGUGUAGCGGUGAAAUGCGUAGAGAUCGGGAGGAACAUCCGUGGCGAAGGCGGCUCUCUGGACCAGCACUGACGUUGAGGCACGAAAGCGUGGGGAGCAAACAGG